rnacentral:rRNA from 1 species
UACGUAGGGCGCAAGCGUUAUCCGGAAUUAUUGGGCGUAAAGAGCUCGUAGGCGGUUUGUCGCGUCUGCCGUGAAAGUCCGGGGCUCAACUCCGGAUCUGCGGUGGGUACGGGCAGACUAGAGUGAUGUAGGGGAGACUGGAAUUCCUGGUGUAGCGGUGAAAUGCGCAGAUAUCAGGAAGAACACCAAUGGCGAAGGCAGCUCUCUGGGACGGUACUGACGCUGAGACGCGAAAGCGUGGGGAGCGAACAGG